CAGAAAAGACGGAUUCAACUAGGAGUUGGUUGAGUUAUGACGAAAGAAGGCGGUGGAGGCAAGCUGAGCGUUUGAGGAUCUCGGGAGGAGUCGGGAGACUUGCGAACAAGCAUCAGGAGUCGUUAAGCAGCUAAUGAUGGCUUUUAAACGUUGGCUGUAUGCAUUGUGUGGUGGUGAUAAACCUCUCCUGUAUGAAGACGACGAGUUUCGUAUUCGAGGUUUUCGGAGGUAAGAAUUCCAAUAAAUUCACUGAAGGCAGAGAGCCGACGAACAAGUCAAUUAGAUCAACUCUGUAGAGAAAUACACAACAGGUUAUCUCUGUGGUCCAUGGAAUCUGUCUAUGGAAGGAUGUUUCUUUGAUAGUGCUCUGAAAAAGUUUAAAGGAAGUUUUUGCAGAAAUUCAAUUCAUGAUGGCCGAUGGGCAUGGGCUAAUUCCCACCGUCAUAAAUGAAAUCAAAUUACCAUCAUUCCCCAGUGGUUGGUCUUGAGUAAGAAUGUUAUAUCUUGCCAAGUGUCUGAAAAGAGGUACAAUAAGAAUGGCAUACUAUGGUAUAUUUAAAAUUUUCACCUUCAUAAAUGUAAGUUUCCAGUGUCGUCUACCAGUUGAUCAUCGGCCAGGAUUUUAUUUUCUAUCAAGAGCUCGAAGGUUGUCAUGGCAUGUGAAAUAUAAAAUUUUGCACUGAAAUCCGGUUAAGAUUUCUACCAUCAUAAUGGAAAUUACCAAUGUUAACCAGCAGUUGAUCAUGGCUGAGAAUGCUGAAUAAUGCCAAAAUUCUUGCAUUGAAGGAUGCCAUGGUUUGUGGAAUCUCAAAUUAAUUUCUCUGUUGGUUGUUUGUGAUUUAUAUUGUAUUUAAUACACAUUGGGAGUCGAAUAAAAUACUAAACGAUAAGAUAAGUUAUAAUUUUAAUAUAUUGGACACAAUAACCUAAGCUAUCAUUCAUAACUAUAAUGUCAAAAAUGCUAAUCACAGGUGUAUUAUCAUAGACUUUUGCCAGGCAACUUGAUAUUUACAUGGCUCUUGUCCUUUUGUUUCACAGCAAAGAUAGAUGCCGAGUUGAAAGGCUUUGAAAUAUGACAAGUUUAGAAGAUUCGUCAAUUGCAAUUGAGGUCCGAGGCCAAUGAAGCACUCUGCAGAAUGGACGAUCAUAAUAGAGUUGUAGUCGCAUGGCAAAGGGAGUUGGAAGCAUACUGAGAGUUAAGUAUUAUUAUCCAUUAACACUUCUAAUUAAGUUAGCAUCGUCUGGAGCUUAAAAAGUAUAUCCUGUGUUUAUUCUUGUGAGUAACUACAUCUAAUAAUAGUAUUUUUAGGACCAGUAAUUAAACCUAUACUAGAAUUUUAAAAGAUUAACUAAUAUGGUUAAAUCUAACCUUGAGAGCUUGAAUUUAAACUUUAGCAUACUUGUAUAUAUAUUUUUACUUUGUGUUAUAUCUAUGAAUACUUUUAAGUUUUAUCGUUAUAUUCUCAAAAAAUAAUCAACAAAAUUCCAAAUAAUAGGGUUGAGAUUGAAUAAAAUAGGGCACCCGCUGCGAAUUGCAAAAGUUUUAAUGACCCCUUUGAGCUUGGGCUUUAAAGAGGCUCUCUAGUAUGACCCACUCAAUGAGUGACGGUCGUUAGCCUUUGCAUGCGUAUAGUUGAUUUUGAUUAAGUUCAUAAAAUAUGAGAAGUAUCCUUUAUUGUUAUCUUAAAAUAUUCAUCAUACGAUAAAAUAAUGGAAAAGUAGAUUAGAAUCUACAAUUUGUUUAACCAAUAAAAUUAUGUUUAAGGUCGGCAUGUGGUUUUUUUUAUUGUUUUUAUGUUUGAGAUUUGGGACGUUAUUAUCAUUUUAAGUAUAAAAUAUCAUUUUUAGUAGGUUCUAAUGUUUGAGGAUGGUUGAUAAUCAUUUUGUUUCUAUGUUAUCUACUUGUGAAAAGUAAAGUUAUUCAAUACUGCUUCAACUCCAUCAAUGUGAAUUAAUAUGUAAUUUGUACCGAUUUUUUUAUUUAUUUAAUAGAUAUUAGCUUUUCAUCCAAGAUGAUAGAAGCUCCAUAUGUAUACAUGUAUUCUUUUUUUGUUGUAAAAAAAUAUUAAUUUAUGGAUCGUUUGUUCGAAAAAAAAGUAAUCGAGAUUUGAAAAACACUGAAAUUAGGGGGAGAAUUCCUUUGGUUUUAUAUUUCUUUUAGAGAGGCAACAUUUGCCUUUUAUACAUUGAUUAAAUGUAAAUGAAAAGUUAUUUUUUUAAAAUAAUAAUAAUAAUAAUUAUUAUUGCAUGGGAUA